rnacentral:rRNA from 1 species
CCUACGGGUGGCUGCAGUGAGGAAUAUUGGUCAAUGGACGAGCGUCUGAACCAGCCAAGUAGCGUGAAGGAUGACUGCCCUAUGGGUUGUAAACUUCUUUUAUCUGGGAAUAAAACGUUCCACGUGUGGGAUUUUGUAUGUACCAUAUGAAUAAGGAUCGGCUAACUCCGUGCCAGCAGCCGCGGUAAUACGGAGGAUCCGAGCGUUAUCCGGAUUUAUUGGGUUUAAAGGGAGCGUAGGUGGAUGGUUAAGUCAGUUGUGAAAGUUUGCGGCUCAACCGUAAAAUUGCAGUUGAAACUGGCAGUCUUGAGUACAGUAGAGGUGGGCGGAAUGCGUGGUGUAGCGGUGAAAUGCUUAGAUAUCACGAAGAACUCCGAUUGCGAAGGCAGUUCACUGGACUGCAACUGACACUGAGGCACGAAAGUGUGGGUAUCAAACAGGAUUAGAUACCCUUGUAGUC